AAGUCCAGGUCUACGCGUUAAGGUCGCUGUCGGUAAACAAAUCGCCUCGCGAGGCGACAGUGAGCGCGUAGAGCAUGUCACGUCCAAGCAUGUCACGUCCAGGUCUACGCGUUAAGGUCGAUGUCAGCAAACAAAUCGCCUCGCGAGGCGACCGUGAGCGCGUAGUGCGCGUGUAACUGCUGUAGUAGUUCACGCUCGUCCAGGGGCUCCAGGGCUUCGACGCGGGCACGCUCUUCUU